AACGAACGCUGGCGGCAUGCCUAACACAUGCAAGUCGAACGAGACCUUCGGGUCUAGUGGCGCACGGGUGCGUAACGCGUGGGAACCUGCCCUUAGGUUCGGAAUAACUCCCCGAAAGGGGUGCUAAUACCGGAUAAUGUCUUCGGACCAAAGAUUUAUCGCCUUUGGAUGGGCCCGCGUUGGAUUAGCUAGUUGGUAGGGUAAAAGCCUACCAAGGCGACGAUCCAUAGCUGGUCUGAGAGGAUGAUCAGCCACACUGGGACUGAGACACGGCCCAGACUCCUACGGGGGGAGGGGGGGGGGAAUUUGGGAAAAUGGGGGAAGGCCUGAUCCAGCAGGGCCGGGUGAGUGAUGAAGGCUUUAGGGUUGUAAAGCUUUUUUCCCCGGGAUGAUAAUGCCGGUCCCGGGGAAAUAGGCCCGGGCUAACUCCGU
rnacentral:rRNA from 1 species